UACGUAGGCAGCAAGCGUUGUUCGGAGUUACUGGGCGUAAAGGGUGCGUAGGCGGCUUCUUAAGUCUGGUGUGAAAUCUCCCGGCUCAACUGGGAGGGUGCGCCGGAUACUGAGGGGCUAGAGUGUGGGAGAGGAAAGUGGAAUUCCUGGUGGUAGCGGUGAAAUGCGUAGAUAUCAGGAGGAACACCGGUGGUGUAAACGGCUUUCUGGACCAUAACUGACGCUGAGGCACGAAAGCGUGGGUAGCAAACAGG
rnacentral:rRNA from 1 species